rnacentral:misc_RNA from 1 species
GGCAGGUACAAUGUUGCCCCGCUAUUUGCAUAUGAUGUAGCAGGUCUAUGGUGUCGUGGUGUAGCUGGAGUCGCGACGCGGAGAGGAAGAAAGUUGCAGCUCCUUUUUGUCGGCAGAUGAGUGCUUUUAGGGUUUUAUUAUUUUUUUGUCUUAAAAAAUAAAAUAAAAAAGGUUACUACUGCGUUGAAGGAGUUGAGCCUCUCGUCUGCCUGGCGCCUCACCUAUUGCCUCUCGGAAUGUCAAGAGAGGCGUCCCGAUCAAGGCGACAGAGGGGCGUCUCGCCUCGCCUAGUCACCUCUCACGCCUUUGAUAACACUGAGACCUUUGAUUGAGUCUUGGUGACGCCAUGUAUUUGAACUUUCGGAUUUUGUUGUAUUUUUUGUUCAAGGUUUUAG